GCUGCAGUGUAUUAUGACACUAUUUGACAACUGUGUAGAUAAUAGUGUAUAUAAUAUUUUACAAGUAUUUUUCAUUUAUUCGUAUAUGAAAGCGGUGGUGAAAUUCAAUUCGAUUAAACUAUUAAACGCCACGCUAAUAAUAAUAUAUUGUAUGUUCGGAAUAUUAUUUUGUAAAAAUGUUAGUGACUUCGAAGUAUUUCACGAGCUGCAGCAACGUUGUGCUGUUAGUUAUUUUGCAAUAUAUCAUACUAAGCGGUAACUGUUUAGAAUCGGGUCACGGUGUUGAUCAGUUGAUCAAAAACCAAGAUCUAACUUUAAAAGAAAUGGAUUUUUUUUAUGUCAAAUUAAAGAUUUACAAUAUGUCAAAUCACUUGUCUUAUUGGCUAUACACCAGAGAACAGUUACACGGUCAGCUUUUAAACAUGAGCGAUCCAUCUAUGAUAAAAUCGACAAACUUUAAUGCAAAAAAUCCGAUAAAAAUCCUCGUACACGAUUGGUUUGGAAGUUUCUAUGAAAAAGAAUAUUUUUGCUCACACAUAAUGAAAACUUAUUUACACGCGAAAAGGUGCAACGUGAUCUGCGUGGAUUGGAAGCAGUUAACUUACGAUUUAUCUUAUGCAUCGGCAAAAAUCAAUGUCAAAUACAUAGGUUACGAUAUAGCUAAAGCAUUGAAAAUUUUAACGAAUAACAUGAAAGUAGGGUCUAAAAAUAUCCACUUGAUAGGUCACGGUAUGGGAGUCCAUAUCGUCGGAUACACCGGGAAGAAGUUAAACGGUCAAAUUUCUCGGAUAACUGGAUUAGAUCCCGCGCUGCCACUUUAUGAAGAUACUGAUCCGAAAUACAGGAUCAAUAAAAAUGAUGCGACCUUUGUAGACAUUAUACAUACAAACGGAAAUAGUCUUGGACUGUUUAAGUCACUAGGUCAUAUCGAUUUUUACCCGAGCGGAGGAAGAUCACAAUUAAACUGCAAAGUAUUAGAUAAAGUUACCGGUGGUGCGUGCAGUCACGCCAAAGCUAUCGACUAUUUCGCCCAUUCAAUAUUGUUUAAAGAAGAAUACAAAUCGUUCCGAUGUGCCAGUUGGAGAGAAUUCAGAAUGGGCGAGUGUAGUGAAUUCGCAAACAGCACGUACAUGGGCGAAUACGUGGACAAAAAACAAACCGGAAAUUAUUAUUUAUGAAUCCAGAAUCUCGACUGGGUACCGUAUCAUAAUAUUAUAACAACUAUAUUGGUUGACGAAAACGUCUCGGACAUGUUUAUUGUUUAUAUAGAUAUCCCCGAGUACUGGAACUGUAAUAUCGUGAUCAUCAAUAGACCAUACAGCACGCGGAUAAACGUUAUAUAAUUUUGUAUAUAUACAUGUAGCCGGAGCUCAUCAUUUGCAAAGUUCGAGUUUUCACGCGUAUUUGCGGAUCUUUGGUUCGACUGAAACUGACGAGUCUCACGAGUAUAUACCACAACGUCUACAAUCCUCACAUGAAUUUAAAAUUAUCUUAUUUUUAAUUCGUGCGUUUUAUUUUGUAGAAAACAAAAUCGUCACUGUAUAUAGUAUAAUAAUACAUAGCACCACUACAGAAUAAUUCAAAA